rnacentral:sRNA from 1 species
AAAAAUGUCUCAAGAAGAGGUAAAUGUGUUUCGAUUGGAAAUGGAGGGCAUUACAGUUAAAGGAAAAGGUUGCCCCAAACCAAUUAAAUCCUGGGUCCAGUGUGGAAUUUCCAUGAAGAUCUUAAAUUCCCUCAAGAAGCAUGGCUAUGAAAAGCCCACGCCCAUCCAAACCCAAGCUAUUCCUGCUAUAAUGUCUGGACGAGAUUUGAUUGGCAUUGCCAAAACAGGAAGUGGAAAGACCAUUGCUUUUCUGUUGCCCAUGUUUAGACAUAUCAUGGAUCAGAGGUCAUUAGAGGAAGGAGAGGGGCCAAUAGCUGUCAUCAUGACUCCAACUCGAGAACUGGCUUUACAGAUUACUAAAGAGUGUAAGAAGUUUUCCAAGACUUUGGGACUUAGAGUGGUCUGUGUUUACGGAGGAACAGGAAUCAGUGAGCAGAUUGCUGAGCUGAAAAGAGGUGCUGAAAUUAUUGUUUGCACACCUGGUCGAAUGAUUGACAUGUUAGCCGCUAACAGUGGCCCUUCAAGAUUUAUAGAACUGGGCUUCCGAGACUUAAACCAUCAAAGGUCGGGUCACAAAUCUUCGAAGAGUGACAUAUGUUGUUUUAGAUGAAGCGGACAGAAUGUUUGACAUGGGUUUUGAACCCCAGGUCAUGCGCAUCGUGGAUAAUGUUCGUCCUGAUCGACAGACGGUUAUGUUUUCAGCUACUUUCCCCAGAGCUAUGGAGGCUUUGGCUCGCAGGAUCCUGAGUAAACCUAUUGAAGUACA